UCGGCGAUAUCACGUUGAAAUACUCUUUCCCGUACGACCAGAGAAGUUAAGCAACUUCGAGCAUAGUCAGUACCUAGAUGGGUGACAACUUGGGAAUACCAGGUGCUGUAA